CUUAUUGCCCUGGCUAUAAUUUCAUGUGCUAUAUUGAAUAAGAGCACUAAGACUAGACAUUCUUGUCUCAUUCCUGAUUUUUGAGGCUCUGUUUUUAGUUUUUCCCAUUCAGUGUGAUCAUAGUUGUGGGUUUAGCAUAUAUAGAUUCUAUUAUAGUCAAAUAGGUUUCUAUAUCUUUUCUUUUUUACCUACCACUGUAAUAUUUGAUACUAAGUUUUAUUCUUUGAGAGCUUCAUAGAGUCUACAAUGAAAUGUGAUCAUAUCUAUCUCCCAUUUGCUCCCCCCAAGUCCCUCUGGGCCUCCCUGUAAUGACCACCUCUAUUCUUUUAAUAUUCCACUGAGUCAAAUUAGUGCUGCUCAUAUGUGAACAAUUGGGGUUAUGAGGUCAUCCAAUGGAACAUAGGUGACACCCUCAAGAACAAUGACUCUCCCUCCUCUGGUAGCUAUCAAUUGCCAAUAGCUCUUCAGUAAAGGGUGAGGCCUUUUAAGUUCCUCCCUCAUCUAUGCUGGAAGUUUGGAUUCCUUAUUCUUGUACAGGUCUUAUGCCAGUAACCAUAGCUCCUGUGAAUUCAUGAGUGCCAUAUUCUUGUCACAUCCAGAAAACAGCACUUCUAGCAACCCUCUCCAUCCUCCAGUUCUUAAAUUCCUCUGCCUUUUCUUUUGGAAUGUUCCCUGAACUUGGUAUCACAAAAUGGAGUAUUUCUUCUAUGUCAGGCAGUUGCAAAUCCCUCACCAGUCCCUCCUAGAGUUGGACAGCAGUUGCUCCUGCAGUGGGGAGAGACAUGUACCUGCAUGUCAAAGGAGCCCCUUUCUCCGGUCAUGGGAGAUAAUGCCAACAAAUAAUGCAAUGGAGAUAUGCUUGAAAUCGUGUCUCCUGUUUCUGCUGUCCCAAUGAGAAGAUGGACAGCAUUUAGAACGUUUUCUGAAGAACAGAAGAAAGGCUCAAUCCUCUUCUACACAUUACAAGCAACAGCCUUCCUCUACCAGUCAUAACAACAAAGUCUUCUGGAGUGGUAUGAGUUAUUGUUCUAUGUUUAGCAAAAACAAAUAAAGCUUUAUUUAA
rnacentral:sRNA from 1 species